rnacentral:rRNA from 1 species
CUACGGGGGGCAGCAGUGAGGAAUAUUGCACAAUGGGCGAAAGCCUGAUGCAGCAACGCCGCGUGAGGGACGACGGCCUUCGGGUUGUAAACCUCUUUUAGCAGGGAAGAAGCGAAAGUGACGGUACCUGCAGAAAAAGCACCGGCUAACUACGUGCCAGCAGCCGCGGUAAUACGUAGGGUGCAAGCGUUGUCCGGAAUUAUUGGGCGUAAAGAGCUCGUAGGCGGUUUGUCGCGUCUGCUGUGAAAAUCCGAGGCUCAACCUCGGACCUGCAGUGGGUACGGGCAAACUAGAGUGCGGUAGGGGAGAUUGGAAUUCCUGGUGUAGCGGUGGAAUGCGCAGAUAUCAGGAGGAACACCAAUGGCGAAGGCAGAUCUCUGGGCCGUAACUGACGCUGAGGAGCGAAAGCGUGGGGAGCGAACAGGAUUAGAUACCCCAGUAGUC